UGGGCCGAGCUGGACUUGAACCAGCGUAGACAUAUCGUCAACGAAUUUACAGUCCGUCCCCAUUAACCGCUCGGGCAUCGACCCA
rnacentral:tRNA from 1 species